GGUUCCAUGGUGUAGCAGUUAGGAUGUCUGCUUUACAUGCAGAAGGUCCUGGUUCACUCCCCAGUAGAACCA
rnacentral:tRNA from 1 species